CCUACGGGUCGCUGCAGUGAGGAAUAUUUGUCAAUGGACGAGAGUCUGAACCAGCCAAGUAGCGUGAAGGAUGCCUGCCCUAUGGGUUGUAAACUUCUUUUAUAUGGGAAUAAAACAGGGUAUGCAUACCCUCUUUUAUGUACCAUAUGAAUACGGAUCGGCUAACUCCGUGCCAGCAGCCGCGGUAAUACGGAGGAUCCGAGCGUUAUCCGGAUUUAUUGGGUUUAAAGGGAGCGUAGGUGGAUUGUUAAGUCAGUUGUGAAAGUUUGCGGCUCAACCGUAAAAUUGCAGUUGAAACUGGCAGUCUUGAGUACAGUAGAGGUGGGCGGAAUUCGUGGUGUAGCGGUGAAAUGCUUAGAUAUCACGAAGAACUCCGAUUGCGAAGGCAGCUCACUGGACUGCAACUGACACUGAUGCUCGAAAGUGUGGGUAUCAAACAGGAUUAGAUACCCCAGUAGUC
rnacentral:rRNA from 1 species